GACGAACGCUGGCGGCGUGCUUAACACAUGCAAGUCGAACGGAAAGGCCCUGCUAUUGUGGGGUUCUCGAGUGGCGAACGGGUGAGUAACACGUGAGCAACCUGCCCUUGACUUUGGGAUAACUUCAGGAAACUGGGGCUAAUACCGGAUAGCAGCUCCUGCUGCAUGGUGGGGGUUGGAAAGUUUCGGCGGUUGGGGAUGGACUCGCGGCUUAUCAGCUUGUUGGUGGGGUAGUGGCUUACCAAGGCUUUGACGGGUAGCCGGCCUGAGAGGGUGACCGGCCACAUUGGGACUGAGAUACGGCCCAGACUCCUACGGGAGGCAGCAGUGGGGAAUAUUGCACAAUGGGCGGAAGCCUGAUGCAGCAACGCCGCGUGCGGGAUGACGGCCUUCGGGUUGUAAACCGCUUUCGCCUGUGACGAAGCGUGAGUGACGGUAAUGGGUAAAGAAGCACCGGCUAACUACGUG
rnacentral:rRNA from 1 species